AGGGAUAUAGUUUAAAGGUAGAACUAUGGUCUCCAAAACCAUCAGUGGGGGUUCGAUUCCCUCUAUCCCUGCCA
rnacentral:tRNA from 1 species